UACGUAGGGGGCAAGCGUUGUCCGGAAUCAUUGGGCGUAAAGAGCGUGUAGGCGGCCAGAUAAGUCCGCUGUGAAAUCUCGAGGCUCAACUUCGAGCUGUCGGUGGAAACUGUCUGGCUAGAGUCCGGAAGAGGAGAAUGGAAUUCCUGGUGUAGCGGUGAAAUGCGCAGAUAUCUGGAGGAACAUCGGUGGCGAAGGCGGCAUCCUGGACCGGUAUUGACGCUGAGGCGCGAAAGCCAGGGGAGCAAACGGG
rnacentral:rRNA from 1 species